AGAGUUUGAUCCUGGCUCAGAUUGAACGCUGGCGGCAGGCUUAACACAUGCAGGUCGAGCGGAGAUGAGGUGCUUGCACCUUAUCUUAGCGGCGGACGGGUGAGUAAUGCUUAGGAAUCUGCCUAUUAGUGGGGGACAACAUUCCGAAAGGAAUGCUAAUACCGCAUACGUCCUACGGGAGAAAGCAGGGGAUCUUCGGACCUUGCGCUAAUAGAUGAGCCUAAGUCGGAUUAGCUAGUUGGUGGGGUAAAGGCCUACCAAGCCGACGAUCUGUAGCGGGUCUGAGAGGAUGAUCCGCCACACUGGGACUGAGACACGGCCCAGACUCCUACGGGAGGCAGCAGUGGGGAAUAUUGGACAAUGGGGGGAACCCUGAUCCAGCCAUGCCGCGUGUGUGAAGAAGGCCUUAUGGUUGUAAAGCACUUUAAGCGAGGAGGAGGCUACUGAGACUAAUACUCUUGGAUAGUGGACGUUACUCGCAGAAUAAGCACCGGCUAACUCUGUGCCAGCAGCCGCGGUAAUACAGAGGGUGCGAGCGUUAAUCGGAUUUACUGGGCGUAAAGCGUGCGUAGGCGGCUUUUUAAGUCGGAUGUGAAAUCCCCGAGCUUAACUUGGGAAUUGCAUUCGAUACUGGGAAGCUAGAGUAUGGGAGAGGAUGGUAGAAUUCCAGGUGUAGCGGUGAAAUGCGUAGAGAUCUGGAGGAAUACCGAUGGCGAAGGCAGCCAUCUGGCCUAAUACUGACGCUGAGGUACGAAAGCAUGGGGAGCAAACAGGAUUAGAUACCCUGGUAGUCCAUGCCGUAAACGAUGUCUACUA
rnacentral:rRNA from 1 species